ACUCAAAGGAAUUGACGGGGGCCCGCACAAGCAGCGGAGCGUGUGGUUUAAUUCGAGGCUACACGAAGAACCUUACCUGGAUUUGACAUGGACGUGGUAGGGAAGUGAAAGCGGACCGACCUUCGGGAGCGUCCACAGGUGCUGCAUGGCUGUCGUCAGCUCGUGCCGUGAGGUGUUAGGUUAAGUCCUGUAACGAGCGCAACCCUCGGGGUCAGUUACACGGUGUCUGGCCCGACCGCCCGCGAUAAGCCGGGAGGAAGGUGGGGAUGACGUCAAGUCAGCAUGGCCUUUAUAUCCAGGGCGACACACACGCUACAAUGGCCGGUACAAUGGGUGGCGAAGUGGUAACGCGGAGCUAAUCCUGGGAAAGCCGGUCUCAGUUCGGAUUGUGGGCUGCAACCCGCCCACAUGAAGUCGGAGUUGCUAGUAACCGCCGGUCAGCUAUACGGCGGUGAAUACGUUCCCGGGCCUUGCACACACCGCCCGU
rnacentral:rRNA from 1 species